AUUGAACGCUGGCGGCAGGCCUAACACAUGCAAGUCGAACGAGUGGCGGACGGGUGAGUAAUGUCUGGGAAACUGCCUGAUGGAGGGGGAUAACUACUGGAAACGGUAGCUAAUACCGCAUACCAUCGGAUGUGCCCAGAUGGGAUUAGCUAGUAGGUGGGGUAAAGGCUCACCUAGGCGACGAUCCCUAGCUGGUCUGAGAGGAUGACCAGCCACACGGGAAAUGGGACACGGGCCAUACUCCUACGGUAGGAGGCAGUGUGGAAUAUGGCACAAUGGGGGCAAGCCUGAUGCAGCCAUGCCGCGUGUAUGAAGAAGGCCUUCGGGUUGUAAAGUACUUUCAGCGGGGAGGCGUUACUCGCAGAAGAAGCACCGGCUAACUCCGUGCCAGCAGCCGCGGUAAUUC
rnacentral:rRNA from 1 species